rnacentral:rRNA from 1 species
AGAGUUUGAUCCUGGCUCAGAACGAACGCUGGCAGCGUGGAUUAGGCAUGCAAGUCGAACGGGAUCCUGCGUUUCCGUAAGGUUAUGCAGGUGAGAGUGGCGGAAGGGCGAGUAACGCGUGGGCAACCUGCCUCCAGGUUGGGGAUAACUCACCGAAAGGUGAGCUAAUACCGAAUGUGAUUGUCUCGGGCAUCCGAGACGUAUUAAAGCUGGGGACCCUUCGGGGCCUGGCGCUUGGAGAUGGGCCCGCGUACCAUCAGCUUGUUGGUAGGGUAACGGCCUACCAAGGCUUACGGUUAGCUGGUUUGAGAGGAUGGUCAGCCGCACUGGGACUGAGACACUGCCCAGACUCCUACGGGAGGCUGCAGUCGAGGAUCUUUUGCAAUGCGCGAAAGCGUGACAAAGCGACGCUGCGUGGAGGAUGAAGGCUCUCGGGUCGUAAACUCCUGUCAUCCGGGAAAAACGGCAUCCAGGCUAAUAUCCUGGGUGUGUGAUGGUACCGGAAGAGGAAGCCACGGCUAACUCUGUGCCAGCAGCCGCGGUAAUACAGAGGUGGCGAGCGUUGUUCGGAUUUACUGGGCGUAAAGGGUGCGUAGGUGGUACCGUAUGUCGAAUGUGAAAGCCCACCGCUCAGCGGUGGAACGGCAUUCGAAACUGCGGAACUAGAGUGCAGGAUGGGAGAGUGGAAUUCUUGGUGUAGCGGUGAAAUGCGUUGAUAUCAAGAAGAACACCGGUGGCGAAGGCGGCUCUCUGGAAUGCAACUGACACUGAGGCACGAAAGCUGGGGGAGCGAACAGGAUUAGAUACCCUGGUAGUCCCAGCCCUAAACGGUGUACACUUGGUGUGGGGAGUAUUGACCCUCUCCGUGCCGGAGCUAACGCGUUAAGUGUACCGCCUGGGGAGUACGGCCGCAAGGUUAAAACUCAAAGAAAUUGACGGGGGCCCGCACAAGCGGAGGAGCAUGUGGCUCAAUUCGAUGCAACGCGAAGAACCUUACCAGGGCUUGACGUGUGGCUGCAUGCCUGCCGAAAGGCAGGAGGCCUUCGAGGGUGCCACACAGGCGCUGCAUGGCUGUCGUCAGUUCGUGCCGUGAGGUGUUGAGUUAAGUCCCGCAACGAACGCAACCCUUUUGUUUAGUUGCCACCGCCGGUGAUGAGCCGGCGAGCACUCUAGACAUACUGCCCGUACAAGCGGGAGGAAGGUGGGGAUGACGUCAAGUCAGUAUGGCCCUUACGCCCUGGGCUGCACACGUGCUACAAUGGUCGGUACAGAGGGAAGCGAAGCCGCGAGGUGGUGCAAAUCCCCAAAAACCGGCCCCAGUUCGGAUUGAAGGCUGCAACUCGCCUUCAUGAAGUUGGAUUCGCUAGUAAUGGCGCAUCAGCUACGGCGCCGUGAAUACGUUCCCGGGCCUUGUACACACCGCCCGUCACAUCAUGAAAGUCGUCUGCACCCGAAGUCGCCGCGCUAACCCGCAAGGGAGGCACGCGCCGAAGGUGUGGGCGGUGAUUGGGAUGAAGUCGUAACAAGGUAACC